rnacentral:rRNA from 1 species
UACAGAGGGUGCGAGCGUUGUUCGGAAUUAUUGGGCGUAAAGGGCGCGUAGGCGGUGCGGUAAGUCACCUGUGAAAUCUCCUGGCUCAACUGGGAGCUUGCAGGCGAAACUGCCGUGCUGGAGUGUGGGAGAGGUGCGUGGAAUUCCUGGUGUAGCGGUGAAAUGCGUAGAUAUCAGGAGGAACACCUGUGGCGAAAAGCGGCGCACUGGACCACAACUGACGCUGAGGCGCGAAAGCUAGGGGAGCAAACAGG